GUCCCUGUAGUACAAUAAAUAGCGCGUUGGACUUCUAGUCCAAAGGUAGGGAGUUCGAAUCUCACCUGGGAUG